rnacentral:piRNA from 1 species
GACGUUGAAAGGUGUGACGUUGAAAGAGGCAA